CACACAUUUCGAGAAGUCGAAAUCCUCCUCGAUCCUCAGCAUAAAUAUGCCUCGAAUACAAGUUAUUUCUCAAAUUGAAUUGACCAUAUUGCAAAUUUUAGUUAUAUUAAUUUACAAAAAUAACACUUAAAAAAUGUUACCAAGGUCAAUCUGAAGAUACUGCUGUUUAUCAUUGCCUUUGGCACACCACGCUCCGACUGAUGAAUUAAGUCUGCCUGCAGAGGGCUUUGAAGAAUUGUCCAGAAAUGAUGAUGCUGUUAUAGCACUAUCUUCAAUAGCACCAUCUGAAACACCAGCAGGGACAGGACCUAGAAACAAAUUGGAGUGUAAUCAGUAGAAGUGAUUAUCUAAAUUAUGGAAACCUAUGAAAUAACAUUCUCAAAUGAAAUGGAAGUGACCAGAAUACAUCUGUCAAAUGAGGUGCAAAUGGAGUCAUUCCAUUUUCCUCUCUGCAAAAGAAAACAGCCCUGAAGGGACCAACAACAAGCUACUCUUUAAGGACCACAUUACUUUAUCCAGUGCCAAGAACAUUGCCUCUGGAAAUUAGAUACAAGUGAAAAAUGAAAAUGUACCAGCCCCUCCUCCCCUCCUUAACAUAAAUGACCAAUCCCUAAUUUUGGAAAGGUGUCAAGCUGAUGACUUCAAUGCCUACAGUGAGCAGAAGUGACACCACCAGAUUCAAAAUCAUUCAGUUAUCCAAAGUGAUCAACAAUCUUUGUAAUGUCUCUCUGUUAUACUGACACUAAAAAUAUAAUGAGUCAUUGUUGGUUUUUAACACUA